UACGUAGGGUGCAAGCGUUGUCCGGAAUUAUUGGGCGUAAAGAGCUCGUAGGCGGUCUGUCGCGUCUGCUGUGAAAACUCAGGGCUUAACCCUGAGCUUGCAGUGGGUACGGGCAGACUAGAGUGCGGUAGGGGAGACUGGAAUUCCUGGUGUAGCGGUGAAAUGCGCAGAUAUCAGGAGGGAACACCGGUGGGCGAAGGCGGGUCUCUGGGCCGUAACUGACGCUGGAGGAGCGAAAGCCGUGGGGAGCGAACAGGA
rnacentral:rRNA from 1 species